GUGAUGUUUAAGGGUACAUGAAGAUCGGAGAGGGUGGGGGUGAUGCCCAAUAAUGAUUGUUAUCAACAUAAGCAUCACCCCAUCCCUCUCCCAUCAUCAUUAGUCAUCGCUCUCUCUCAACAUUAUUCAUCAGUACCCUCCCUCUCACAUCACUGUUGGCCAUCACCCACUCCCUCUCCCACCAUCAUUAAAGGGUCAUUGUAAACACAUCACAACUUUGCAUCAUUUCGAAGUCGAUGGUUAAUAGAAUAUCAUGAACUUGCUCUCAGGUGUGUGAGUGGCUUAGAACUGCAGUGAUUUGUGUAAAUCGCACAGCUAUAAGCCGGAUCCUCAGAACUGUCAACAAGUAAUGGAUUCACAACUCCAGCAAUUAAAUAAAGAAGUAGUUUAUUACCUCUGCACGUGAACUGUCAAACACUCCUUCUGUGUGUCAAAACGUUGCUGAGUCUACGUGCUGGUGAAUGAAUUACUUCUUUAUUUCAUUGCUGGUGUUGCGACUCCAUUACUUGCUUCCUCCUAACCAUCACUAUUUGUGUGCAGGCGCUCCUUAUUUGUUUUUUUCCUUAGAACUGUCAG